rnacentral:lncRNA from 1 species
GAUUCAGAGUGCCAUUGUCCAGUACUACCAGAUACAGAGCUCUCAGAGUUCCAGCUUCCAGUACUUCCAGGUCCAGAGCUCCCAGGUUUCCAGGUUGCAGUCCCUCCAGUCCCAGAGCUCCCAGGGUUUCGGUUUCCAGUACUUCCAGGGUUCCUGGGGCUUUCCGUCUCUGAUCCGGUUCCAUAAGAGGUGGAGCCUCCUCGAGUAAUCUCAUUUCCACCAGGUCUCUCUAACUCCAUUCUCAUCUG